rnacentral:tRNA from 1 species
GCCGGAGUGGCGGAACGGCAGACGCGGCGGAUUCAAAAUCCGCUGGGAGCUACAUCCCGUGUGGGUUCAAAUCCCUCCUCCGGCA